rnacentral:rRNA from 1 species
ACCACCACUAAACCCAGCUUACACGACCGUACCGCAAACCGACACUGGUGCGCGAGAUGAGUAUUCUAAGGCGCUUGAGAGAACUCAGGAGAAGGAACUCGGCAAAUUGACACCGUAACUUCGGAAGAAGGUGUGCCUUUAGUAGGUGAACCUGUACAAGGGGAGCCCAAUGAGGUUGCAAAAAAUCGGUGGCUGCGACUGUUUAAUAAAAACACAGCACUCUGCAACCACGAAAGUGGACGUAUAGGGUGUGACGCCUGCCCGGUGCUGGAAGAUUAAAUGAUGGGGUGCAAGCUCUUGAUUGAAGUCCCAGUAAACGGCGGCCGUAACGAUAACGGUCCUAAGGUAGCGAAAUUCCUUGUCGGGUAAGUUCCGACCUGCACGAAUGGCGUAACGAUGGCCACACUGUCUCCUCCUGAGACUCAGCGAAGUUGAAAUGUUUGUGAUGAUGCAAUCUCCCCGCGGAAAGACGGAAAGACCCCAUGAACCUUUACUGUAGCUUUGUAUUGGACUUUGAACAGAUCUGUGUAGGAUAGGUGGGAGGCUUUGAAGUGUGGUCGCUAGAUCGCAUGGAGCCAACGUUGAAAUACCACCCUGGUGUGUUUGAGGUUCUAACCUAGGCCCGUAAUCCGGGUCGGGGACAGUGCAUGGUAGGCAGUUUGACUGGGGCGGUCUCCUCCCAAAGCGUAACGGAGGAGUUCGAAGGUACGCUAGGUACGGUCGGACAUCGUGCUAAUAGUGCAAUGGCAUAAGCGUGCUUAACUGCGAGACUGACAAGUCGAGCAGAUGCGAAAGCAGGACAUAGUGAUCCGGUGGUUCUGUAUGGAAGGGCCAUCGCUCAACGGAUAAAAGGUACUCUGGGGAUAACAGGCUGAUACCGCCCAAGAGUUCAUAUCGACGGCGGUGUUUGGCACCUCGAUGUCGGCUCAUCUCAUCCUGGGGCUGUAGCCGGUCCCAAGGGUAUGGCUGUUCGCCAUUUAAAGAGGUACGUGAGCUGGGUUUAAAACGUCGUGAGACAGUUUGGUCCCUAUCUUCCGUGGGCGCUGCAGAUUUGAGGAAGCCUGCUCCUAGUACGAGAGGACCGGAGUGGACACACCUCUGGUGUAUCGGUUGUCACGCCAGUGGCAUUGCCGAGUAGCUAUGUGUGGAAGAGAUAACCGCUGAAAGCAUCUAAGCGGGAAACUCGUUUCAAGAUGAGAUCUGCCGGGGCCUUGAGCCCCCUAAAGAGUCGUUCAAGACCAGGACGUUGAUAGGUCGGGUGUGGAAGCGCAGUAAUGCGUUAAGCUAACCGAUACUAAUUGCUCGUGCGGCUUGACCCU